rnacentral:rRNA from 1 species
UACGUAGGGCGCAAGCGUUGUCCGGAAUUAUUGGGCGUAAAGAGCUCGUAGGCGGUUUGUCGCGUCUGCUGUGAAAUCCUGAGGCUCAACCUCGGGUCUGCAGUGGGUACGGGCAAGCUAGAGUGUGGUAGGGGAGACUGGAAUUCCUGGUGUAGCGGUGGAAUGCGCAGAUAUCAGGAGGAACACCAAUGGCGAAGGCAGGUCUCUGGGCCACAACUGACGCUGAGGAGCGAAAGCGUGGGGAGCGAAC